GUCAAUUCACACAGCAUCUGACCAGCUACGGGGUUGAGUAAGCACCUAGAGCACAUCAUGUAGUCCUUAGGGGGAAAUCCUCUGCUGUUAAGAAAACCCUACACCGGUAGGUUGGCCAUUUUUCUAUAAAAUGAGAAGUAAUGGCGAAGACUUCAUCAAGGCUUGGUGGCACACAAGGUCCAAGUCGAGACUCUCAGGAAAAACGUGUCCUUCUGUACAGAAGCCACAUCAUUACCUAAGUAAACAAGGCAGUGUUCUGAAUAGUCACAAGAGCUGGGAGAAGGAACGGACGCAUGUAACUCCUGCAGAAGCUACAGAUGGGAUGCAGCCCAAAAUGCAUCCAGGAACAUGAGAUGUCUUCCCUCCUCCCCAGCUUCCCACUUUUUUGAAUAAAUUGCUGAGUGAAGGGCCACGGCAGCCCCAGCAGAAGGAGAAGGCUUCACCAGCCAGCGGGCCACCACCCUGCUUUAACCUCAGCCGUGCCCGAUCGGAGCGGAGCAGCCGUGCGUGUCCGCCCCAUGCUACCAAACAAAAGGCUGCCAACCCACUCCAGACUUUGGGCUGGCCCCUGAAGUGGCUGCUGAACGCUCCCUCACUGCCAGCUGAUAAGCUUUGGUGCUUUGCAAUUCCCCUUUCCAAUUACUGGCCCUGCUCCCAACGCUGGCUGGGCCUGGUGUGUGCCAACAGCCAGGCAGCGGCGCAGGGGCUGCGGGACUUAGGGUGGAAAGAGAUGGGAGAAAAGGUGAGCCAAAGCAGGGACUUGCAUCAUUCACUGGGAGGGCAUCCUCUCACAGCUGCCUUCUGCAGAAGCCCUUGGAGGCGCCUGCUCGACUGAGGAUGGAGUCAUCUGGAUGAGCCAUGCAGAAGCAGCCCUUGUAAGUGUGGGGACAGGGACUUGGUGAGUAUCCAGGCAAGGGACGUCGUGGCAAGUGGAUGUUGAGGCCGGGUGACACACUAAUAUCUUUCUGAAGUGGCUUGGGUAUAAUUGUUCAUUUUAGGGGCAUGGAAACAGAGAGGGUGAGCCCUGCUACCCUUAAUUCUUUAUCUGCAUUGCCAUAUUGCUAAAAGAAGCUCGGGGGAAUUGUCCAUGUAAAUCUAAAGAUUCAACAGUUAAAUACCAUCACUGCUAUUCUAGGUAUUGUGGGUUUGAUGUUUUCCCUUAUCGUAGGCACAUUGUCAUUUCUAUAGCAUCCAUGUAAAGUGACCCAAAACUCCAGAACUGACCUUCUGUGAAUGUGAGUCAACAAACAGUGAUCCUGCAGCCAUCAGCUAUCUGCUGGCUCACUUCACAGAGGCACCGACAUGAAGCAGUGUGCCCAGUGAGGAUGUCUGGUGGAAAUUCCAGCUGGCAUAAGACUGGAACCCUACUCUCAUCUCCUCCUGAAGCAGGCAGAGCACUGCUGUGUGCCAGACAUCCCUAUGGCAACGUUUUGUACCUGAGACUGCUUUUCAAGUACAACAAGUCAUGGUGGAGCUUGUGCAGCCAGAGUCACUCACAAGGGAUGGAUGAGCAACCUGUGGAAUGCAGAGGGCCAAAGUGGGGAUUUAGCAUCUUCAUUUCCCCUCUUCCUCAAAUUCUCUUUUCCUGGGAGCUGGGCUCCUCACCCAGGCUGGCACUGAGGUUUUAUUGGUGUGAGAAUGGAAUCCAGCUCAGAUUGCCUUUGCAGGGACUUCUCUUCACAAUUAGCUGAGAAGAUGAGUCUCCAGAGGGACAAAGGGCUUCUCACCAGGAGAAAGAGCUCUCGAAAUGUCAGCUCAAAAGCAAAUCCUAAGUUGAAAACAAAGAGACUGCUGAUACUGCUGGAUGGGUUAUGAUUUUUAAUUCUCUAAAGAUAUACCUUUCUGAAAAGAUUUUUAUUAAAAUAAAAACAACAAAAACCCAUGAGUGUGAGCAAAUCA